rnacentral:rRNA from 1 species
GUGGGUAGUUUGACUGGGGCGGUCUCCUCCCAAAGAGUAACGGAGGAGCACGAAGGUUAGCUAAUCCUGGUCGGACAUCAGGAGGUUAGUGCAAUGGCAUAAGCUAGCUUGACUGCGAGAGUGACGGCUCGAGCAGGUGCGAAAGCAGGUCAUAGUGAUCCGGUGGUUCUGAAUGGAAGGGCCAUCGCUCAACGGAUAAAAGGUACUCCGGGGAUAACAGGCUGAUACCGCCCAAGAGUUCAUAUCGACGGCGGUGUUUGGCACCUCGAUGUCGGCUCAUCACAUCCUGGGGCUGAAGUAGGUCCCAAGGGUAUGGCUGUUCGCCAUUUAAAGUGGUACGCGAGCUGGGUUUAGAACGUCGUGAGACAGUUCGGUCCCUAUCUGCCGUGGGCGCUGGAGAAUUGAGGGGGGCUGCUCCUAGUACGAGAGGACCGGAGUGGACGCAUCACUGGUGUUCGGGUUGUCAUGCCAAUGGCACUGCCCGGUAGCUAAAUGCGGAAGAGAUAAGUGCUGAAAGCAUCUAAGCACGAAACUUGCCCCGAGAUGAGUUCUCCCUGAGACUUAAAGUCUCCUGAA